rnacentral:rRNA from 1 species
AGAGCGAACGCUGGCGGCGUGCUUAACACAUGCAAGUCGAACGUCCUGUCUCGCAAGAGGCAGGGAGUGGCGGACGGGUGAGUACCACGUGGGUUAUCUACCGUGAGGUGAGGAAUACCGGCGAGAAAUCGCCGACAAAACCGCAUAGGCUCGAUGCAAGUCGAGCAAAGCUUUCUCGCAAGAGGGAGCGCCACACGAGGAGCCUGCGCCCGAUUAGCUGGCUGGUGGAGUAAUGGUUCACCAGGGCGACGAUCGGUAGCUGGUCUGAGAGGACGAUCAGCCACACUGGGAUUGAGAACGGCCCAGACUCCUACGGGGGGCAGCAGUGAGGAAUUUUCGUCAAUGGGGCAACCCUGAACGAGCAACGCCGCGUGCAGGAAGAAGGUUUUCGGAUCGUAAACUGCUUUUCUCGGGGAAGAGAACGGACGGUACCCGAGGAAGAAGCCCCGGCUAACUACGUGCCAGCAGCCGCGGUAA